UUUGGUAAAAUUUCCCUUCUGGGAAAAUGC
rnacentral:piRNA from 1 species